CUUGAUGGCAGCCGUGCGCAGGGCGUCUUCGGGCGCGCCGGGGUACAUCGGCCGGUCUACUAACCUGCGUACAGCUGCCACCCUU
rnacentral:antisense_RNA from 1 species